GUUCACUAAAGAAAAAAAAAAUAAUUGAGCACAAAGAUUGCAGAACAUCACUUGGUUUUAAAUUGCUUUACAAAGCAGUCAAGUCCUCUCUCCAUUUUAAAAUUCAUCACCAGAUGAAAUAUACUUAGGAUAUAAAGGAACAGUCCAACAACUAGUCAUUUUGGUUGCCUAUGGUUUUGGGUGCCCAAGUUGAGAUACCUGAAAGAGUUCUAAUUUCAGAAGGUGAUGAGCAUCCAGUUGUUGAAAAUCAGGCACCUCUAAAGUGUCAAAUUGGUCAUCCAAAGAUUAAAGCACUGAAAAUUGAAAUCAAUGGGAUUUACGUGCAAACUUAACGUUAAGCAUGUGUUUAAAUGCUGUCUUGAAUAGAGGCUUUAAUGGGUAAAAUAUUAUGUGAUUCAAUUUAGAUAGUAUAGCCCUCAGUGUGCCACAGCCCAAAUAUGAACACAAGACAAGAUGCAGCAGUUCAGGAAGUAUGAUUUAUUUAAUUAACAUAUCUACUGUUUCCUUACUCUCAGUUUAGUUAUUCAGUACUUCUGAUGUACUACAAUAGCAUAUUAAAAUUGAUAUAACUAGAUAUGGUCUAACACAAAACCCUGUAUCUGAGGUAAGGUGAGGGGGGAAAUGUUUCAAAAUCCAGAUGCAAAAUUCAUGGUUUGGACUAAUCUCGAGGUACUAGCAGGUGUGUGAGGCCAAAGUAAAUCUGAUCUUAAAUAAAUUAAGAGCAACUCU